AUGGACAAAGCACAAAGGAACAACAUCCUAUCCCCUCUGGGUAACCAACUUGUUAAACACCGUGCAUCUAUUUACGCAGACGAUGUCAUCAUUUUCCUCAAGCCUGAGAUGCAUGAUUUUGGGGUUGUAACUGAAGUGCUGAAGCUUUUUGGUGAAGCAACCGGUCUCAUCACUAACCUGGCUAAAAGCAAGAUCCUUCCUAUUCGGUGUGACAGCCUUGACCUUACUCCCCUGCAGCUGGCUCUUGGAUGCCAGUUGGCUAGCUUCCCCUGCACUUACCUUGGGAUGCCUCUAUCUGAUAGGCGGUUGAAGCUCAUUGACUUCCAAGACCUGCUUGACAAGUUAAUUAAGAAGAUUGCGGGUUGGAAGGCUAGGUGGAUCUCCUCCACUGGAAGAAUGGUACUCGUGAGGUUUGUACUUUCGGCAAUGCCAAUUUUCAUGCUUCUGGCUGUUCAUCAACCGAAAUGGGUCAUCAAGCAAAUCGAUAAGCUACGUCGUGCUUUUUUAUGGUCUGGCUCUGAUGCUGUCUGCGGUGGCAAGUGCCUUGUCCGCUGGACCCAGGUGUGCUCACCCAUCUCUGUAGGCGGGCUUGGCAUCCAUGACCUUCAAGCUCAGGGGCGGGCGCUUAAAGUACGCUGGCUUUGGCAAAGCAUCACAGAUCCGGAUAAACCAUGGCAAGGUCUGCAGCUCCCUGUUGACAAGCACGUUAAGGCUCUUUUCAUUGCUUGUACCUCCAUCAAAAUUGGUAGUGGUAUUAAGAUAUCCUUUUGGCACGAUCACUGGCUCAACGGUGAGAUUCCAGCUGUUUCGUUUCCUAACCUUUUCAAGCAUAGCAAAAACAGAAGAAUAUCGUUGGCUGAAGGACUCACCAAUAGAAAAUGGGUCACUCUUCUCAAGCGCAACCCGGGCACCGAGGUGUUGCGCGAAUACAUUGACUUCUGGCACAGAUCCAGUGUGGUCACUUUCUCCAACCUGGAGGAUGAGUUCAUUUGGAAAUGGUCAGCGGAUGGAAGAUAUAAUGCUAAGUCAGCUUACCUAUGUCAAUUCUGGGGCAGGAUUGAUUCUCCUCUUCCUGAGAUCAUUUGGCAUAUCAAGGUUCCACCAAGAAUAAGAUUCUUCAGUUGGCUCUUUGUACAGGGCAAAUGUUUGACUGCGGACAACCUUGCGAAGCGAGGUUGGCCUCACAACCCGAUCUGUCAAUUAUGCCACUUAGGGUGGGAGGAUGAUCUGCACCUUGUAUCUAGCUGCCCCUUCACGGCUGGUAUUUGGGGCUAUUGCCUGGCGAUAUAUAAUUUUCCAUUCAACCUCUUACCUAUUGCUCAUACUGGCUCUAUAUUGGACUGGUGGUUAAAGGCUCUGGAUCGUACAGGCAGGAAAAAGGACCUAUCAUCACUUAUAAUGACGGUGUCCUGGCAGGUUUGA
rnacentral:rRNA from 1 species